AAUGACUUUUGGAGGAAGCUGUUCGGUGAACAGCCUGUGCCUGCCCUACAGAUCUCACAAGAUCACUCAUCUUAGAGUGCUCCUCGGUGGCCACAGAACUGGCCCGUGGUAUUGGGUGCUCAGAGAGAGCACAAGUGGCGGAGAAGGCAGUGUUGGCAGCUCACGGGGGUGCUGUGUACAGGUCUGCAUUGGAGCUAGGUGCUUACAGAGCCAGCAGAGGAUGUAUCCAACACAAUUCAGCAAAAAAGGGAAGGCUAAACCAUCUGUAGGCUCAGAACCUAUGGUACUGGCCUGAAGACAGAACAAUCAUGUGGGACACACACACACACACAGUACAGGUCCUG